rnacentral:rRNA from 1 species
UACGUAGGGGGCAAGCGUUAUCCGGAUUUACUGGGUGUAAAGGGAGCGUAGACGGCGAUGCAAGUCUGAAGUGAAAGGCGGGGGCCCAACCCCCGGACUGCUUUGGAAACUGUAUGGCUGGAGUGCAGGAGAGGUAAGUGGAAUUCCUAGUGUAGCGGUGAAAUGCGUAGAUAUUAGGAGGAACACCAGUGGCGAAGGCGGCUUACUGGACUGUAACUGACGUUGAGGCUCGAAAGCGCGGGGAGCAAACAGG